GUAAUCUGAAAGAUCUAAGCAUACAUAAGGAAGAUGAAACAGCGGGAAGCGACUUUGAUUUAUACUCGUAAUGAUAUCUUGCACUUUCAGAAGCGGAGAUAAAUACAAGAAGAUAGUGAGGUGCAGUAACGGAACCAUUAAAAUGUCCAAAAAAUUACGAGUAGAGAACUAAGGGCUUAGCAUUGGGGGAAAGACGAAAAAUAAACGUAUAAUAUAAUAAAAAAUAAAGUGUUUCACCGCUCUACGACCGAUUCCUGCUGCCAAUUUCAGUUCCUUGUGAUUACGACUGCUACUUCCCAGCAACAUUUGUCCCAAUGAUAAAAGUGCAGUGUAAGGUGAAAAGGUUACACUAUCUCUGAAAUUAUUCGGCCUUAAGUUCUGCAAAUUAAAAAUUAACACUACUUCAUCUGCUCGGAUGUACAGAAAAGCUGUUAAGUAUCAUGGAUUAAGCAUGUAGCAAUGGGAUGUCAAUGUAUAAAAAAACAAACAGUAUAAAUAACCAAAAUAUUAUCCUCUAUAAUGUUGUAUAUACUCAAAAGGGGCGUAAAGAGGGUGGAAAUAAGGAGAGAUUACUUCCAUUUCUGAAUUAUCACAAUGAUCUCAAAUAUUAUUUUAGGAGAGAAUUAACUAGUAACUGACGCGUUCUGUUAAAAACUAUAUCUCUCUUGGUCUCCCGUAAAAACUCUUGGUCUCCCGUAAAAACUCUUGGUCUCC